rnacentral:rRNA from 1 species
ACGGAAGGCAGCAGUGGGGAAUAUUGGGCAAUGGGCGAAAGCCUGACCCAGCGACGCCGCGUGAGGGAAGAAGGUCUUCGGAUUGUAAACCUCUUUCAGCAGGGAAGAAGGAAGUGACGGUACCUGCAGAAGAAGCCACGGCUAACUACGUGCCAGCAGCCGCGGUAAUACGUAGGGGGCAAGCGUUAUCCGGAUUUACUGGGUGUAAAGGGAGCGUAGACGGUACGGCAAGUCUGAAGUGAAAUGUCGGGGCUCAACCCCGGAACUGCUUUGGAAACUGUCGAACUAGAGUGCAGGAGAGGUAAGUGGAAUUCCUAGUGUAGCGGUGAAAUGCGUAGAUAUUAGGAGGAACACCGGUGGCGAAGGCGGCUUACUGGACUGUAACUGACGUUGAGGCUCGAAAGCGUGGGGAGCAAACAGGAUUAGAUACCCUGGUA